GGGCGAUUAGCUCAGCUGGGAGCGCACCUCCCUUACAAGGAGGGGGUCACUGGUUCGAACCCGGUAUCGCCCACCA
rnacentral:tRNA from 1 species